UGGAAUCAUUCUGUGAACAACCUGAAGCCUUCAGCAGCAGUUAGUUAUUUAUGAAGGUAAUAAAUAGGCAUAACUGUUUAUUCAUUGCAGGUAUGCCUGUGUCUGGAGGAGAUGGAGGGCAAUUUUCAAAUUUUAUCCACAUGAUGGAUGUGGAAGGGAGGCCAUGGGAUAAGAGGACACCCGACCAGAAACAAGCUGCCUUUUUGUUGUUAAUAGCCAGGAAGUCUCUGCGGUGCAGAUGUGACAGCAACAGCAAAACCUAUUUUGAGGUCCUGUCCCAUGAAGUAGCUAAGCAGGGUGCUGAAGUGAAGUGGCUGCAAGGUUGCCAGAAGUACCAGUGUAUUCAUGGGGUCAUCCAAACAGAUGCAUUCAAAUUAUAA
rnacentral:lncRNA from 1 species